AGUAGUGGCCUGAUUCCUCAGCGUCAUCAGAAAAAGAAGAAACCAGUUCCCGCAGCCACAGACGGUCUCCGCCAUUUGCAACAGCUCUCGGUCUGAGUUUUAAUAUCUCUACCACAGGUACCCGCCGUUUACCUGGAGCGUUACCCGAGCGUGAGGCAGGAGCACGUCAUAGCGGCGGGAUGGCGACAGACCGGCGCGAGGACAAAGAUGGAGAACUGAACGUUUUAGAGGAUCUUCUGACUGAGGCCCCGGAUCAGGACGAUGAACUGUACAACCCUGAGACAGAGAGAGACAUCAGUGACAAGAAAGGUACAAAGAGGAAAAGUGAACGAUGUGACAGUCAGGACCUGAAAAGGCUGCGUCCCAGUUCAGGUCAUGCCUCCUCAAGGUCCACAAGUAAAAGAGCUUCAGGCCCCCUACCUACUUCCUCCAAGAAGGGGGGGUCCAGUCCACGCGGCCGACAUGCCCUCAGCUACCGACAUGAAUACUAUGAGGAGCGAAAGGUACGCCGAGGAGCCCGAGAGGUGACGAGAAGCCGUGGGGCAGAUGAUGCAAGACGUAGAGACUCCCACAGGGGCCUAGAGGGACUGACUCAGAAGCUGCGUCGUGAUGAGCGACGGACAAGCCCUUCCCCCCACGAGGAAGACAACCCAUCCGAAGAGGAGGAAGAGGAGGUGGUGGAGUACGGCUCAGAGAGAGGUUCGGGGAGCUCAUCCCCUGCUGCCUCCCAUGUAGAGGAUGAUGAUGAGGAGGACCAGGAGGAAGAGGAAGAGGAGGGUAUGGAGGAAGAAGAGGAGGAGGAGGAGGAGGAAGGAGAGAAGGAAGAUGAUGAGGAUGAUGAGGAAGAGGUAGAUUAUGAGCGCCGUGGAGUUGGUGAGGGGAAUGAAUACGACACUCGCAGUGAGGCCGGCGAUUCUCGGUCCUCCGCCUCCAUCAGUUUCUCUGACGUUGAGUCUGUGCAUUCGGGAUCCGGCUCUGAUGCCUCAGAUUCAGAGAAGAAACGGGAGAAGUUGUCAUCAUCUGUUCGGGCCGUUCGUAAAGGAACUGACAAUCCCACCAGUAAGCUGCGUUACAUCCUACGAGAUGCUCGGUUUUUCCUCAUCAAGAGCAACAACCAUGAGAAUGUGUCCCUGGCUAAAGCUAAGGGUGUGUGGUCAACACUGCCGGUCAAUGAGAAGAAGCUAAACGCUGCUUUCCGCUCAGCACGGAGCGUCAUGCUCGUCUUCUCCGUCAGGGAGAGUGGCAAAUUUCAGGGUUUUGCCCGUUUGGCGUCAGAGUCUCAUCACGGUGGAUCUCCUAUCCAUUGGGUUCUUCCUGCUGGCAUGAACGCAAAGAUGCUGGGUGGUGUCUUUAAAAUUGACUGGCUCUGCAGGAGGGACCUGCCCUUCACGAAGACAGCUCACUUGUCUAACCCCUGGAAUGAACAUAAACCUGUCAAAAUUGGACGUGAUGGCCAGGAGAUCCAGCCAGAUGUCGGUGCUCAGCUCUGUGCCCUGUUCCCACUGGAUGAGAACGUGGACGUCCACCUGGUGGUUCGUCGAGUUCGUCACAAACGUCGGACGCCGUCUGAACCACGGCCCCGAGGCCGACCUCCGCUGCGCGAGCCGGGAAGGUUAGCCAAUCACCAAGCUCCUCCUCCUGCUUCCUGUUCUUCUUCUUCUCCUGCUGAGACCACCGCAACACCUGCUGCCGGACAACAGAGAUGGCCACUGCUUUUGGCCAGCGGCAAGCUGCCCCCGAGCUGGCAUUGCUGGUUCUUUGGUGGUUGUUGUGGGUUUUCUCCUGGAGUAAUGCCUCACUCUGCAUUUGUAGUCAGGCAGGAAAUUCAAGUCCUCAAGAGUCAAUGGUUGAGGGGGUUCACGUAUUUAUUUAAUUUUAAGUUGUUAUUUUAUCCUUUUUUAAGCAUCAAGGUGCCCUUUAGAAUAUAUAUUAUUUCAAGUUUUGGUUGAUUUAGUUUUUGCUGAUCUUGUAGCUAAAAGACUGAAUUUUACCAAUUAUGUUGUUUCUAAAUUUCUUCUUUGAAGCUCUUUUCCUUUGCAGGAGUUUCAUACUUCGGAAGUUAAAAAUCUGAAUGUUGGCUUUUAGCUGGACUGUGGCCGAGCCUUUGGUAAUAAAAGCAUGAAGGACGAGCGUCACUGGCUGGACUGACGGAGCAGGGGGUGGGUGAGGGGUGCGAGUGAGGUAGAACUCUAACAGAACAGGGGGACUGUCCAGUGGACUGUUUCUUGUCUGGGAAGGUGGUACAGGUUGGUUGGGCAGGUGCUGGGACCUCUGGACUAUACCCAAUGAGGGAGUGUGAUGCCAUAAGGGGCUGUGGCUUCCUUGCUGGUUCAGAAAAGGUAAAUUUCAUGAAAAGGAAAAGAUGGACUAUUUUAAAACACCCUUGGACUGAAAAAGUGAGGCCUCCUACCCCCAUUAAAGGACAGCUUUAACCCCCUUCUCCCCCAGUGAACACACUGAAUCAGGACUUGAUUUGUUGGUGUGUCUCUGAAGACUGAGUUUCAAAGUUUGUGAAUGGAGGAGUUGAGGAGGAGGAAACAAAAAAUCAGAUCCAGAAACGACGGAGCCACAGACCACAAAGUUGGGUUGUUUCAGGACUGUUGCUGGUCUCAAGUGGGUGGGGCAGAGAUCAGAGGGUUGGGCUUUAUGUAUCGAUUGACAGGACUGCACCAUCAUCACCAUCAUCAUCUUCACCCCCCUACCCUUUCAAAAUAAGAGGGUUUGUUUAAAAAAGCUUUAAACAUGGACUGAUGAAGAAACUGAAUUAUUAAUAGUGUUGUUGACACAAACAGCUCCCUCACACAUACUACAGAAGCGGCGUCGACCUGAAGAAUACGACCUCCAUGGCAGAAAGCGGCCGCGUGCUGACGGUCCACCUGACUUCAACCAACGAGCAGGAUUUAUCCAGGACCUACGUAACCAGCCAGUCGACAGACGGUUCUCCAGUGUCAGACGAG